rnacentral:snoRNA from 1 species
CAUCUAUGAUGACAAAUUCAAGGCUUGUUUCUCAAAACAUUCGCAGUGGCCGUCUAAGAGCAUUCGCCUUCGCCGGGCUUGAGAGCUUGUGCUGCUUCAAUCCUUCCUUGGAUGUCUGAGACU